rnacentral:rRNA from 1 species
CCUAUGGGGGCUGCAGUGGGGAAUAUUGGACAAUGGGCGAAAGCCUGAUCCAGCCAUGCCGCGUGUGUGAAGAAGGCCUUCGGGUUGUAAAGCACUUUCAGUGGGGAAGAAAGCCUUGGGGCUAAUACCCUCGAGGAAGGACAUCACCCACAGAAGAAGCACCGGCUAACUCCGUGCCAGCAGCCGCGGUAAUACGGAGGGUGCGAGCGUUAAUCGGAAUUACUGGGCGUAAAGCGCGCGUAGGCGGUCUGAUAAGCCGGUUGUGAAAGCCCCGGGCUCAACCUGGGAACGGCAUCCGGAACUGUCAGGCUAGAGUGCAGGAGAGGAAGGUAGAAUUCCCGGUGUAGCGGUGAAAUGCGUAGAGAUCGGGAGGAAUACCAGUGGCGAAGGCGGCCUUCUGGACUGACACUGACGCUGAGGUGCGAAAGCGUGGGUAGCAAACAGGAUUAGAUACCCCGGUAGUC